rnacentral:lncRNA from 1 species
AUGAUUCCCCAUUCAAACUGCAUUACUACUCCACGUUUAUCAGGUGCGGUUAAAGAAUCAGUCAAUGCUCAAACCUCAAAACACACACAUCGAUCAUUUGAGAACACACUAAACGUGGGAAACAUCUGCGAAAAAUGAUCAUAAAUCUUGCUUGGAAACAGGAUGGCAAUGAAGGAUGUUCUAUUCGCGAUGAAGAUAAAGAGAAAACUGUGUUGUUUGUACACAUAUUGUAUUUUGUGUUGCUUGCAUACGAAGUGACGUUCUAGAUGGGAUGGAGUAGUGACGGUUUCUUCAUUCGGGAUGUAGAAAGUGAGGAAACUAUAGUAAUUUGUAUUUGGAUAUUUUGUAUAAUUUUGUAAUAUUUUAUGGCAUUAUAUUUCAUAAUUUUUCUUAUCUUAUUUGUAGAACAUGUGGCUUUUAUUUGUCAUUGUAAACCUUUAUGUGAU